AAGAGUGCACAGCUGCUGGCAUACGUCGAUGAUAUUGAUUACAUAGGCCUCAACAUUUAAUUGAACUCAACAACCCCGCCGUUAGUUCUGCAUUCUCCAGAAUAGAUAAGGAAGCGAGACAAAUGGGUCUGGUAGUGAACGAGGACAGGACAAAUUAUCUUCUGUCAUCAAACAAACAGUCGUCGCACUCGCGACUUGGCUCCCACGUCAUUGUUGACAGUCAUAACUUCGAAGUCGUAGAUAAUUUCGUCUAUCUCGGAACCAGCAUUAACACCAACAACAACGUUAGCCUCGAAACCCUCCUCAGAAUUACUCUUGCCAUCAGAUACUACUUCAGACUGAGUACUCAAUUGAGAAGUAAAGUCCCCUCUCAACAAACAAAGACCAAACUCUAACCCCCGCCCUGUUUUACGACAUGGAGGAUGACAACAAAUGAUGAGUCGACGUUAAGAGUUUUUGAGAGAAAGGUUGUGCGAAAGAUGUAUGGUCCUUUGCGCAUUGGCAAUAUCGCGUUCGAUGGGACGAUGAGUUCUUCAAGUUAUACGAUGACAUUAACAUAGUUCAGCGCAUUAAGAGACAGCAGCUACGCUGGCUAGGCCAUGUCGCCCGAACUAAUGAAAACUAUCCAGCUCUGAAAAUAUUUGACGCACUAAGCGCUUGGGAAAGCAGAGGAUGAGGAAAACCUCCACUCCGUUGGAAAUGACAGUUUCCCACCUAAAGAAGAUUUUCCGAAGUAAUAAGCCUCACUACAACAACUGUGAACAUUAACAACAUCAAAGUAUUUUUCACACAACAAAACCAUGUAACACUGUUUACUACCAAUCAAAUUCCUCUCAUUCUCUCUAAAAAAUUAUAUAUACAUAUUUUUACUUCAUCACUCUCCCAGUCUCUAAAUAACGCACACUCUCUCUGGUUAACAUUGACUCGUGCUACCACUACUCAGCACUACUCUCACACCAGUAUACGCUCUCCGCUCUUUCUCUCAGUUAUCCUUUGCGCUUGUUAGCGGAACUAAAGCUUUUACAUAAUCUGCGAAGCAUGAUGACGUCAAAUAGCUCCAAAAUAUUUCAUGCGCAUCAUCACGACACUCAUUCCGCAAUCUGUGUGGCCUUCCGCUACUGUUUGGUUUGGCUGCUUCGUGUUCAUACCGUUGCCGUUAUUGUUAUUGUUGUUGCUCGGUAGAGUCCUUGUACGAAGGGUAACGAAUGGUUUGUUUUUGUUGCCGCUGAAUUUUCCUCAAUGUUGUGACGUCAGACGAAUUUAGAUACGUCAAAUGGCGCUGACUUACGUCGUUGUUGUUUGCCAACGUUGGGCAAUAUUCUACAGCAGCGCCUAUGAGCAGCGCACUCGCACACGGCUAUAAACAUAGAUAUCGUAUAAGGCUAAGCUUUAUGUUUAUUAUUUUUCAUUCCAGCCUAUUCGCACUUCCGUCAUCUGCGUCCGUUGCGUUGGCUAUGUGCGAACGAAUAUUGAAAUGUUACGCAUCAACUAAAUGACAUUGAGGCCGCCGCGGCCCCUCAUAGCAGAGAGACAAUAAAAUUGAGAUUGUGUAGAUUUAAGUGGAAAUAAGUAGUCAUACCACGAUUUGCUAUAAAUGUUUUCUGGAAGAAAAUCAAAAAAU